UACGUAGGGUGCAAGCGUUGUCCGGAAUUAUUGGGCGUAAAGGGCGAGUAGGUGGCCAUCUAAGUCAGACGUGAAAUCCCCCGGCUUAACCUGGGAACUGCGUCUGAUACUGGACGGCUAGAGUUUGGGAGAGGGAUGCAGAAUUCCAGGUGUAGCGGUGAAAUGCGUAGAUAUCUGGAGGAAUACCGGUGGCGAAGGCGGCAUCCUGGACCGAGAUUGACGCUGAUGAGCGAAAGCUAGGGGAGCAAACGGG
rnacentral:rRNA from 1 species